AACAGCUGGAGAUGGGAAUGUGUCUACACAGACCAGCAAUAUUUUACUUUUCACUUAAUGUUGCAUAGAUCUGGUUCACCUUUGUGUAUAACCCAGGUCUGUUUAAUAUGUAUUAUGUGUGUCAUAUAUAACUGUCAUCCUGCUGGCACUAUUGCAGUGGUGGUGAUCUUAGGAGUGGGUGAACUGGGUGCUGAUUUGAAUUUGCACCAAACUGAGCUCAGUCUUUCUUGCGUGUAAAAUGUCCUCAGUAAGCUAAGGCAAAAUUGAGAGGUAGAGCUGGGCCCUAUUCAUUGACAUUACUAGGAAUGCCAGGGAAUAGUAAGGCCUAGUCCAUUGCUUGCCAUGGCAGUCUGGCAUCAUUCACAAAACUUGAUAAUGCUCCAGAAAUUAUCAUGUGGGGUGUCAAAGGCACUUCUUGCCCAGGGUGCUAGUAAUUUUAGGGUCCAUUAAUCUGACAUUUGCAAACUACAUGUGUCAGCUGUCCUUCCACUUCCAAGUCCCCUAUUAAAGCCAUUGACUAGUUUGUUAUUGCACACAGAGCCUGGCUAUAUUUCAAAACUGUUUUCCGGGCAAUAGCUAGCUAACUAUGAUGUACAAUAGGUUUCUAUUUUCCUCCUCUUUCUCACAGAUCCACAAGAACCAACUUGUUGCUAUAUUUGAGACAAUUAUCUGCAAUUUGACAAAUGCAUUUCACUCAGGAAAAGAAGGGUUAUAGCUAUUCAUUACAUCUCUCUCUCUCUCUCUCUCUCUCUCUCUCUCUCUCUCUCUCUCUCAUUUCUUUGGGAAACAAGAAAUAACUAUUGCUUCUACUGUACAUGAAGUAGACUGUUCCUGUUGCAUAGUCCUUGGUCCUGCAUGGGCUCUUUUGAGCCUGGACUUCAGUCAUACUAGACUAAUACACAUCAGGGAUGAUGGAG